CGAAAAAGGAAAUAACGCUUUAGAAAUAACACUUUCGAUAUAGAAACUGACAAUGAGUUAAAACAUUUUGAGAAAGCCCCUUGAAAAAAUCUUAACUUAUAUAGCAAUCAUGAACAAGGACUUUUAAUAAACAGAACAUACUUGAGUUAACAAUAGUGAAAUAUGAACAGAAAUCUUAAAGUGACUUUUAUAACUUCGGAAUAGCUGCUCGGAUUUAUUUUCUUGAUUGUUCACUAUUAAUGGAAACGAUAUUGGAGGUAUAAACUCAUAACAGUGGAGAUAGACUCGAAGAUGAUUAUUUUGACAUAAAUAUAAAAAUGUAUAAGCUUAUAACAGUGGAGAUAGCCUCGAAGAUGAAUAUUCUGACAAAACUAUAAAAAUGUAAGUUGCUUUAUAUCUAAAUAAUAUCUGAGUGUGAUGAAUGCAAUAUUAUUUUAAUGAUACGAAACUAUC
rnacentral:lncRNA from 1 species